rnacentral:lncRNA from 1 species
CCAGCUGUUCUAACACCUCCUGCCUGCCAGUACUGACUCUUUAUGCAUGGGGGCUUCCGGCUUAUCUAUACUUCGAAGACAGUGAACUAGGUUAACCAGAUAUAGGACUCCUCUGUCUUGCUACGAUGGACAGCCACAAGGAUUCACUUGAAUAAAAGAAGCAACAGUGGGUGCCAGGCUGUUUGCGGACCUGGGUUUGGUGUCUAACAUCCAUGUGGUGGCUCACAUCCAUCAGUAACUCCAUUCGAGGAGAUCCAAUACCCUCUACUGCCCUCCUCUAGUACCACACAGAGUUUGAUUUUGAUUUUGAUUUCUGGCAGUGCUGUGGAUUGAAUGGCGGGCCUUGCACAGAAAUGUGCUGUUUUGUUAUACAUUUAUUACAAAGAAUCUCACAAAAAGAAAAUAUUUCAAAAAGAAUGCCAGGCUAAAGAACCUCCACCUGGAGAACUGGGGGAAGGCAGGGCAAUGUAAGUUCUUCUGCCUGCCCAAGACCUGUGGAAGAUAUAAACAGAACCAGUCUAAAAAUGGCUGAUAUUACCCAAGCCUGAAAAGGGCUCACAGAACACCAAGUCACCCCUGCUAGAAAGCUUAAUCAGGGCAUCUUAACAGAGCUCCUAAGCAGGCUUGGCAGUUCAGGAUUUUGUCUUCUGGUUGUUUUCUUUUCCACUUAGAAUAUCAACGUCAACAUACAGCACCCUCUGGCCAUACUUUAGCAGUUCCAGGAUGGCCAAGACGACAUCGUUGAUGUAACAGAAACCUGAGGCGUCAGACUUCUUUACAUGAUGCAGUCCCCCAGCCUGGCUCGCAGUGAUGUCCCUCUGAUGUGUAUCAAGUUUCACAGCACUUUCCAAAGAGCCACCAAUAGACAACUGACAACUCAGACAGGCCAUCGAUUACCGGGAAGUCCUCACCAACGCGGAAUCUCUGCAUCUGCUUGCUGUAUUUAGACACAUUAUCUGGGCGAAUAGAGCACAAGAGUUUAAUGUAGUCAUCACUGUGGGACUUGGUCAUCUCCUCAGCGUUGGCUCUGUGAGGACGAUAGAUUUCCAUUUUUUGGUAGAGAUGUAGUUGAGCUGCAAAUCACGAGUCAUGUGGAUUCGGUGAGGCUUCAUUGGGUGGCCCUGUCCAUAAGAUAGUUUCCAACAUCCCUGUUAACAGACGUUCCUCUUGCCCUGAGUCUGUGCCAUCUUUCUCACCACCCAGUGCUCCUGCCAGUCUGAUGUUUUAAUAUUUUUAGAUGGUGAUGCUUUGAGUUUAAAUGGCCUUUGACAAAUUCUAUCCUAAUUUCUAAUUAAGACAAGGAAAGAAAACAAAGAUGGAUAAGGACCAUAAAGUAAUGAAUGGACUGGAAACAGAAGUAAACUUAUUCAACAAUAAAA